rnacentral:rRNA from 1 species
AUUGAACGCUGGCGGCAGGCUUAACACAUGCAAGUCGAGCGGAGAUGAGGUGCUUGCACCUUAUCUUAGCGGCGGACGGGUGAGUAAUGCUUAGGAAUCUGCCUAUUAGUGGGGGACAACAUUCCGAAAGGAAUGCUAAUACCGCAUACGUCCUACGGGAGAAAGCAGGGGAUCUUCGGACCUUGCGCUAAUAGAUGAGCCUAAGUCGGAUUAGCUAGUUGGUGGGGUAAAGGCCUACCAAGGCGACGAUCUGUAGCGGGUCUGAGAGGAUGAUACGCCACACUGGGACUGAGACACGGCCCAGACUCCUACGGGAGGCAGCAGUGGGGAAUAUUGGACAAUGGGGGGAACCCUGAUCCAGCCAUGCCGCGUGUGUGAAGAAGGCCUUAUGGUUGUAAAGCACAUUAAGCGAGGAGGAGGCUACUGAGACUAAUACUCUUGGAUAGUGGACGUUACUCGCAGAAUAAGCACCGGCUAACUCUGUGCCAGCAGCCGCCGUAAUAC